AUUGAACGCUGGCGGCAUGCCUUACACAUGCAAGUCGAACGGCAGCACGGGGGCAACCCUGGUGGCGAGUGGCGAACGGGUGAGUAACACGUAGGUAACCUGCCCCCCAGUCUGGAACAACUAGAGGAAACUCUAGCUAAUGCCGGAUGAGACCACGAUCCCUUCGGGGGUUGCGGCCAAAGAUGGCCUCUACUUGUAAGCUAUCGCUGAGGGAUGGGCCUGCGGGCCAUUAGCUUGUUGGUGAGGUAACGGCUCACCAAGGCUGUGAUGGCUAGCUGGUCUGAGAGGAUGACCAGCCACACUGGGACUGAGACACGGCCCAGACUCCUACGGGAGGCAGCAGUGGGGAAUAUUGCGCAAUGGGCGAAAGGCCUGACGCAGCGACGCCGCGUGAGUGAAGAAGGCCUCGGUGUAAGCUCUUUGUCUAGGGAAGGAAACGG
rnacentral:rRNA from 1 species